rnacentral:pre_miRNA from 1 species
UGAUGACGAUGUAGAUGACGAUGAUGAUGAUGAUGAUGAUGAUGAACAUCAUGGUAAUCAUCAUCAUUAUCGUCCUCGUCGUCGUCAUCAUCAUCA